rnacentral:rRNA from 1 species
GACGAACGCUGGCGGCGUGCUUAACACAUGCAAGUCGAACGGAAAGGCCCUGCUUUUGUGGGGUGCUCGAGUGGCGAACGGGUGAGUAACACGUGAGUAACCUGCCCUUGACUUUGGGAUAACUUCAGGAAACUGGGGCUAAUACCGGAUAGGAGCUCCUGCUGCAUGGUGGGGGUUGGAAAGUUUCGGCGGUUGGGGAUGGACUCGCGGCUUAUCAGCUUGUUGGUGGGGUAGUGGCUUACCAAGGCUUUGACGGGUAGCCGGCCUGAGCGGGUGACCGGCCACAUUGGGAUUGGGAUACGGCCCAGACUCCUACGGGAGGCAGCAGUGGGGAAUAUUGCACAAUGGGCGGAAGCCUGAUGCAGCAACGCCGCGUGCGGGAUGACGGCCUUCGGGUUGUAAACCGCUUUCGCCUGUGACGAAGCGUGAGUGACGGUAAUGGGUAAAGAAGCACCGGCUAACUACGUG